UCUAUACACGAACUACCAUCACGCAGCACUGGAGGAUGUAGAGAAGCAAUAGAGAACUCCUUCUCCUUUUCUUUUUCUCUCCUUUGAUCUCUCUCUUGCUGAUCUUUCUCUCUAUGUGGCCAACCAGAAGGGGGGGUUUGGGCAUGUGGAUGAUGGAAGGAGAGGGGGUGGCAUAGAUAAAAGCACUAGCUUGAUUCAUGAUGUGAUGAUUUCCACACCCCAAAAUCUUACCCAUUUUAUAGAUGUGGUCAAGG
rnacentral:lncRNA from 1 species